GAGCCCAAGAUUGAAAGCUGGCGUCUUCGGCGUCCGCAUUGUAAUCUCAAGAAGUGUUUUCCGCUUCGGACCAUGCCUAAGUCCCUUGGAAAAGGGCAUCAUAGAGGGUGAUAAUCCCGUACAUGGCAUGGAGCGCCCGAAGCUUUGUGAUACGCUUUCUAAGAGUCGAGUUGUUUGGGAAUGCAGCUCAAAAUGGGUGGUAAAUGCCAUCUAAGGCUAAAUAUUGGGGAGAGACCGAUAGCGAACAAGUACAGUGAUGGAAAGAUGAAAAGAACUUUGAAAAGAGAGUUAAACAGUACGUGAAAUUGCCAAAAGGGAAGGGUAGGAGGUCAGAGAUGCGGCCUGGGAUUCAGCCUUGCUUUUGCUUGGUGUUUUUCCCAGAUUGCAGGCCAACGUCGGUUUUGGGCACUGGAGAAGGGUAGGAGGAACGUGGCACCUCUCGGGGUGUGUUAUAGCCUUCUACUGGAUACAGCGACCGAGACCGAGGACAGCAGCGUACUCGCAAGAGCGGGCCUUCGGGCACCUUUACGCUUAGGGCGUUGGCAUAAUGGCCCUCUACCACCCGUCUUGA
rnacentral:rRNA from 1 species